CACGGUGCUUCUACCGGUGUGGUCACACCUGUUCCCAUUCCGAACACAGAAGUUAAGCACAUCAGGGCCGAUGAUACCGCGUAAGCGGAAAAGUAGGUCAGCGCCGGUU
rnacentral:rRNA from 1 species